ensembl:lncRNA
UUUGAGAUUUGACAGUUUUAUUCAGUAUAGUUUCACACACUUUUAGAACAGGCUGGUUUAGUUAGGUCACACACACAUACAUCCAAACACACACACACUAGCUAUUAAUUUAGUAAUACCAAUAAUUAGCAUCAGGAUUUUAAUGACCGAUCUCUGCUUCCUCUGACUCCUCCAACAGAAACCUCAUGCAAACCAGGAGGAGGAGAAAAACAUCGAGUCGACAGGACAGACUCCUACAGCGGAAACAACAUCUUAGUAAAGUAAAUAAACCACAGGUGGAGCUGCUUCCAAUGAGAAAACGCUGAUUAAAAAUCUGAGUUUGAAUGGACUUUCGGGGUCAAAGAUAAUUUAAAUAAGACGUUCUAACUGCAUGAGUGAGGACCCACAGAACAACUAAGAGUCCUUCAGUUCCUCCGGUAGAAUCUCACGGUGGAUUUAUGCUUACGGUGUUUUACAAAAGUAGAAAUUUGAGACAAACUAGAGGUCGACUAGCAGCAAAAACAUUACAGAAAGAAAACUACCACCAGAUGCAAACCUUCAGCAACAAUCUGGCGAUAAUGAGAAGUUUCCUACCACUGACGGUUUGUGACAACAGUUAGCUAGUGGUGCUAAACUUCUAGUAAACUUCUAGUAAUAAAUAUGCUACUAGUUUGUCAUCUUCUGGAAGACAGUUGUAGUCAAACUUUGGUAGUUUUCCCACAAAUCUGCAGCAAAGGUCAUAUUGUCUUUUCUUUCUUAGAAGUAGAUAGAAACUGUGGAGCGAUACAGGAGAACGAGCAAUAAGGAUCAAGGUUAGACAGGAAAUCAACCUGGAAACUGACUGAUUGAAGCACAUCUGAGUAGAUUCUCCAGGUCACGGUGAUCCUGGGAGCUUUGGUAGAAAACAACCUGGAUGUCUCUUUUAGACAAAGUCAUAUUGUUGUAUCCAAAUUGGACAUAUUUCGAGGUUGAUUUUUGUGCUACUUCCUCAUUGGUUUGCAGUGUCGCCUCUCAACAGGAAGGCUGUGGAGAUGUGACUGAAUCAAGCCAAGUCUAAAGGACAAAGGAGCUAAUCAUCAAACAUUUACACAAAGUCACAACUAAACCCACUGCAGGUUUGCUACACAUAGAAUUUGUAUUUGGAAAUACGAAUUGCUGCAAACUUGCGGCAAUGAUUCCGAAGUUUAACUACAACUGUUUGCAAGAAAUCUGAAACUUUCUUGAAGGUGACGGGAACUUCGUCAAUCUGUGGUUAAACUGAAACUGUCCUGAUGAAGUUCAGUCACCCUUUCAGAUGGUCACCAGUGUUUUUAGUUCAAUUAGAUGGUGAGUGGAUCGACUCUUUCUGUAAAUGUCUGCCAUCACUACCACUAUAGAAUAGUGGAACUGAUCACUACUCUGGGAUCGAUCAGCUUUGGGUUGAAGCUAAACUUCUGAAUGUGAAUCCAGUCGGAGUUGUUCAAAAACACGUUCGGAUUAAACAUCUCAACAAAAAGACAGAAAGACAACAGUUUCCAAAGGUUAUCCAGCCCUUAUCACGCCUUGAAGACUUCGCCACCAGAACACCUCACAUCAACACAACAUCCUGACCAUCAGGUCCAAGUCCAACCAACGCUGGCGCCUCGCUGAAGCUACAGCAGGAGAUAUACUUGGUUUUAACCAUGCGUUAGUGUGUCCUGCAUUUGUUUGUGCUCAUUCACAGAAUCAAUGAUGCAUAAAACAUCACAAAGUUUCUCACGUGUCGCCAUGUGUGUCCUGUACUGUGUGAUCUCCAGUCCUUCAGUGAAAAGGCAAAUGUGUUAACGGUUACAUUCAAGACGUAGCUGGUCAUCGACGUGCAUGCGUAGUUAAAACACAAGUAUAUCUCCGGCCUUACAAACUGGCUAUUUCCAACCUACGUACCUUUAACAGUUGCCAGGACAACAACCAUGGAGGUAGACGGCAGUGUUCCUCCGCCGUCUCAAGUUUCACUUGAUUUUUAUUUUGUCCAAAACUAAGUUCUGUAAAAUAUUUUAGCUGAAUAUUGAGAACUUCACCCUAAAAAAAAACUUAUUUUAAUCCAUUUAAAGGAUCUCCAAAAAUACUCAAAACUCUGACAGUAAUGAAAUUUGAUGAGGAUGUGGACAAAACUGCUCCCAGCAGAGAAUAUUUCGAAAUGAUUGGUCCUUGAAAAUGGAUAAAAGUGCAAAAAAAAAGCAAACAUGGUAUAGUGUCUCCAUAAAGUCCAUGCAUAAAUAUGGAUGGAUCCAUAUUUCUACUAAAAUACAGUCUUUAGUCGACAUUUCAUCAACCUUUGAGUCUCUACCAUCAGCAGAAUCUGAUGUGGGGAAAGUCUGACCAGAGAAGGUUCCAGUUUUGUUUUUUUUGUUUUUCUUUUUUAGAUAUUUAGACUUUAAAUCAACCAAAGAUGACUCAUAUAUCCAUAAUGUAUAAAGAUGUGUCCAACAUGUGAUGAAUAAUGUUCACAGUAACUGGAAACUUGCCAAGAAAGACUCAAAACCAUCCAAAAUGACAAUACUGGUUAAUUAUUGGCAAUGAAAAUGGAGGAAAGGGCAAAAUUUUCAAACUAGGAUAGUAUAGUGUCCAAUAAAGUUCCUGUACAUGUUUAUAUAUAUAUGGAUGGAUAUAUAUAUAUAUAUAUAUAUAUAUAUAUAUAUAUAUAUAUAUAUAUAUAUAUAUAUAUAUAUAUAUAUAUAUAU